rnacentral:rRNA from 1 species
UACGAAGGGAGCUAGCGUUGUUCGGAAUCACUGGGCGUAAAGCGCACGUAGGCGGAUGUGUCAGUCAGGGGUGAAAUCCCGGAGCUCAACUUCGGAACUGCCCUUGAUACAGCACGUCUUGAGUCCGGAAGAGGUGGGUGGAAUUCCUAGUGUAGAGGUGAAAUUCGUAGAUAUUAGGAAGAACACCGGAGGCGAAGGCGGCUUGCUGGGCUUGGUCUGACGCUGAGGCGCGAAAGCGUGGGGAGCGAACAGG